AUGGUUGAACUAACUCUACAUUUGCACAAAUUUCCAGCCCUCCUUUUGUCAGAUGUGAACACAUCCCUCAGGCGUGUGACCGUGCAUGCACGCAUAGCUCGUGUUUGGGAAUUUCACAAGGACAAUGAAUUAGCGCAUGUUGACCUUGUCUUUGUUGAUGAGCAGGGAAACCAAAUGUAUGGGGAAAUAUAGGCAAUGCAUGCAGAUAUGUUCAGAGAAAAACUAAAAGAGGGAAAUGUCUGGCUCAUCAAGGAUUUCUUUGUUAACACAGCAAAGAACAAGUACAAGGUUGUGGAAGGAAGUUUCAUGAUGAAAAUAACUCCAUGAUCAAAAAUUGACGUGCAAAAUGAUGUGCCUGAAGAUUACCCUCGCUAUGCUUAUUCACUGAGUGACUUUAAGCUUCUACCCUCUAUGGUUGGAAAAAAAGACUCCUUUAUAGAUAUCUUGAAGGUUCGGCUGCCUGGUCGAGCCCAAGAUUCUGAUAAUAGAAACCUACAUAUUACAGAUAUUGAGUAA
rnacentral:rRNA from 1 species